UGGGGUUUUGGCUUAGAGGAAGAGUGCUUGCCUAGCAUGCAUGAGGCACUGGGUUUGAUCCUCAGCACCACAU
rnacentral:tRNA from 1 species